rnacentral:rRNA from 1 species
CCUGAGAAACCCAAAAGAUCGAAUGGGGAGAUUCAUCGUCAAUAUGUUUAAUAUUAAUAUAUAUUAUGAUAUGUUAAAUUUUUUUAAUUUUAUAUUAUUAAAUUUUUUCAUACAUAUAUAUAUUAUUUUAUUGUUUUACAUUGUCGGCGUGCACUUCUCCCCUAGUAGGACAUCGCGACCCGUUAGAUGUUGGUUUACGACCAAAUUGGGUAGCCUUUAUAUUAUUUUAUUAUAAUUAAAGACCAAUUUGUGUUUUCUAACCAAGUAUUUGACGGUAAACGUAUGGUAUUAAGUCGCAUUUUAAUAUAUUUAUGCGUUCUCUACCCGUCGCAAGCGAGGCCUUUUUUGUUAGUUUACAGACUUUGUGCUGUCUAAUAAAAAUUUGGUCAGCUG